AGCUUAAUUAUUUUAUCUACACACAAAAUUGAAAUCCAUCCUGGAAAUUAUAAAUGAUUGAAACUUUUCCCAUUCUGCUUUCUCACAAUCCUGAAUAAAAACCCAGUUAUCCUAGUUGAAAGGCAAAAGGGAGUGUUUAUUUUGAUCGAAAAGAUUGAAACUUUGGUUUUGUUGUUUGAGAGGGAGAGAGAGAAGAUGGGUGAUAAAAAUGAUGGCUUGGGCUUGAGUUUGAGCUUGGGAUAUGCUACACAACGGAAUCAUCAUUAGCAGCCUUCUUUGAAGCUAAAUCUCAUGCCUUUGGAUUCACAAAACAAACAUAAAAAAACUUCCUGGACUGACCUCUUUCAAUCACCAGAUAGAACAUGUGAAUAUGUGAUACGAGGUUGUUUCAACGAGGGAUUGACAUGAACAGGGUACCGGCAGCUGUGGCAGAUUGUGAUGACGAAACAGGGGUUUCUUCACCAAACAGUACACUAUCCAGCUUGAUUAGUGGUAAAAGAAGCGAAAGAGAACAGAUUGGAGAAGAAACAGAAGCAGAGAGAACCUCUUGGCAUCUUGGGUACUAUUGGUUGCAGUUUUCGAUCUGGGUAGGGAUUCUUGGUUGUCUAAGAGUAACCAUUGCUUAUGUUAUGCUGCACUAUAGUUAAUUGACCGGGUCACACCCGGGUUUGACCGGGUGGACCGGGUUCCGGGUCGACCCGGCGGGUCGAUUGGGUUUCGCCGGGCCAAUUCCCAAGCGGGUUUUUGCCUCCACCCGGACCGGUCCCAGGCCCGGGUCGGCCGGGUCCCGGGUCGACCCGCCGGGCCGGUCCGGGUUUUAAAACACUGCAUGUAACCAAAUAAUUUUGCAAUCUAGCAUUCAUCAUAUAUAUAUAUAUAUA